rnacentral:rRNA from 1 species
UACACUCCUGCGGGAGGCAGCAGUGGGGAAUUUUGGACAAUGGGCGAAAGCCUGAUCCAGCAAUGCCGCGUGAGUGAAGAAGGCCUUCGGGUUGUAAAGCUCUUUUGUCAGGGAAGAAACGGUGAGAGCUAAUAUCUUUUGCUAAUGACGGUACCUGAAGAAUAAGCACCGGCUAACUACGUGCCAGCAGCCGCGGUAAUACGUAGGGUGCAAGCGUUAAUCGGAAUUACUGGGCGUAAAGCGUGCGCAGGCGGUUUUGUAAGUCUGAUGUGAAAUCCCCGGGCUCAACCUGGGAAUUGCAUUGGAGACUGCAAGGCUAGAAUCUGGCAGAGGGGGGUAGAAUUCCACGUGUAGCAGUGAAAUGCGUAGAUAUGUGGAGGAACACCGAUGGCGAAGGCAGCCCCCUGGGUCAAGAUUGACGCUCAUGCACGAAAGCGUGGGGAGCAAACAGGAUUAGAUACCCGGGUAGUCCCAUGAU